AACUACUACUGGAUGGCCUGCCCCUUUUCCUUGCAUUUGUAACAUGAGAUAUUUCGACCUCCUCAUCUUCCUCGUGUUUGUCAUUAGAGGGCUGGACAUCUACUUCGCUGAAACAAAAUAACAGGAUCACAAAUAGAACAGAUAACGCCUCUCAGCAGGAGAAAAGCUGCAUAAACAGCCGGCCUGCAGAACUGAAACUAUAACCAAAUGAGUAGCAGGGGCAAGGCUGCUGCAGACCUGACCACCAUGCAUGGUAAGGUCAUGCUUCACCCUCUUCAGUGCAAGAUCAGAUAUUACAUUGUAGUCCUCAUUCCUCCAGGAAAAGAAACAGAAACAAAUAGAUAAGUAGUGACAUUACAUGAAAGAUGAUAUUUAAAAGUAAAGGAGGCUUACACUAAAGGUGCAUGAUGUAAGUAAACGCAGCAACCCUGGAAGAAGCAGAAUCUUUCAUCUGCACAAUGCUUCUUUUUGUACCGUUGUACAAUGCUCUGAUCGACAGUAAUUGUGUUCAUGUUGCUGAAAA